GGUGAGUAUGCCUAGGACUCUGCCUAGUGGUGGGGGAUAACGUUCGGAAACGGACGCUAAUACCGCAUACGUCCUACGGGAGAAAGCGGGGGAUCUUCGGACCUCGCGCCAUUAGAUGAGCCUAGGUCGGAUUAGCUAGUUGGUGAGGUAAAGGCUCACCAAGGCGACGAUCCGUAACUGGUCUGAGAGGAUGAUCAGUCACACUGGAACUGAGACACGGGUCCAGACUCCUACGGGAAGCAGCAGUGGGGAAUAUUGGACAAUGGGCGAAAGCCUGAUCCAGCCAUGCCGCGUGUGUGAANGAAGGUCUUCNGAUUGUAAAGCACUUUAAGUUGGGAGGAAGGGUAAGUACCUUAAUACGUUGCUACUUUGACGUUACCGACAAAAUAA
rnacentral:rRNA from 1 species